CUCAGUGAAAAUUUCAUCACCGUCGUUGACAGUUCAGCCAAAAUUCUCUAGCUCCACACAAUUCGCUUAGCCAAAAUCUCAAAAUUAUCUAAACUACAUUUUGUGUUCACUUUUGAUCAUUCAAAGUCAUCGCCCAACGUUCAUUCGCUAUUCAAGCGGAAAUUUAAGCGCCCGAGCAGGAAAAUUCCAGUGGAUUUCUUGCUUUUUUCGACUAAAGUAGCGCCCACAUAGACCGAGAAUUGUUGCAGGAACGAGGACGCCCUCAGCGAGAACGGAGGCCAACUGUUCGACUUAAUUGUCGACCACUGUCAAUAUUAGCGCCAUCGCAACUGCUGGGUGUGGGCGAAUCUGCGCCCCGCCACCGGAGCCGAAAAGCAGCACCCUGAAUUUCUCGUCGUUCAAAUCGAGCUUCACUUCCAAUGUUAAUUUCCUGAAGAGAAGGUAAAGACCUUAAAAAAGGAAGUGCCCCCCUGAGAAGGGGUGGCCCAGUUGAACGAAACUAAUUUGAAAUUUCAUAUGUUCGUCUAUUUCUCUCUCUCUGUCUCUCUUUCUGUGGCGGUACUUUUGUGCCGCCCCAUUUGAUUUUCCCACCCUCCCCCUUCCACUCAACUGCGCUGCACCAUUCAAACUGUUGGAAAACCACCAAAUCAAUCAAUCAAUCCACCAAAAACACUCGAACACA